CUGCAAGGGCUUGUAGACCUCCUGGGUUGUGUUCUGGAGUAAAAAAGAAAACAAGAAGUCUUAUUAACAAUGUCGAUGCACAAAUACCUGAUAUGGGGGCAAAUACCAGGUUUUUGCACUCAUAAGAUGUCACUGCUGAAUUUAGUUCCUGCUGACUCUGGAGAAGAGCAAUUACUGUGAUGCUUGAUUCCAGACACACACUUAAUAUCUUCAAGUAACAGUGAAGCCAAACGUACUUAUUGUGAAAAGCCAAGUUUCCAGCAGUGGAAGGUUCGUUCAGUAAUCCACUCCACCAAUGAUCAAAUAAUCAACAUAUCCAAACACCCAUCAGUUCUUUGAAUUCUUCUGGAAGACUCCCUGCUGUGCCCUCUGAAUUUUUAAGCUUUUCAGCGUCUCAUGUGACAGCAAUUUUUUUUUCCAAUGGACAUAAGAUGUAUACAAAACUGUCAGUGUUUUACAAUCCUGUCAUUCAGAAGGCACUUUAAAGUUCCUAUUUUAACUUAUUUUUUAUAGUACUAACUGCUCAGGUACAAAAUCAACAAAUCCUGUGAACCCCGCCUCUUGCACUAAAAGAAUAACUAAAAGCUGCUAUCCCAGUAGUUAGUCUUAAAUGUAUUUGUUCUGAGCUGUGUUUUCACUUCUAGCCUUAAAAUCACCAAGACUAUAUGUUUUCUUUUCCAGUAUUGCUCUAUGCACUCCCUCUAGUGAUACUACCAUGUAUAAACAUUGUUUCUUGGUGGGGGAGAAUGGAAUUUCCCAAAUGGCUCACAAACCAUUUAAUGAAGCAUGUAGCACAAACAUUUCAUUACAACAUAUUGUGUACUUUUACCUUUAAUAACUACAUUCCUCAUCCAAGAAGUCUCCAUAGCUUUCAAAAAUGAAUUAUACAAGUAUUAUUUCACUCAGAAUACAUAUUUUCCAUGACAAUAAUAGUACUUUCCUCAACUAUUGUAUUUAUUAGCAACCUGUUGCCCUCUGACACUGGUAUCAUUUUCA